CACAUGCAGUCGAGCGGGGGAGAUUGCUUCGGUAAUUGACCUAGCGGCGGAGGGGUGAGUAAUACUUAGGAAUCUGCCUAUUAAUGGGGGACAACAUCUCGAAAGGGAUGCUAAUACCGCAUACGCCCUACGGGGGAAAGCAGGGGAUCACUUGUGACCUUGCGUUAAUAGAUGAGCCUAAGUCGGAUUAGCUAGUUGGUGGGGUAAAGGCCUACCAAGGCGACGAUCUGUAGCGGGUCUGAGAGGAUGAUCCGCCACACUGGGACUGAGACACGGCCCAGACUCCUACGGGAGGCAGCAGUGGGGAAUAUUGGACAAUGGGGGGAACCCUGAUCCAGCCAUGCCGCGUGUGUGAAGAAGGCCUUAUGGUUGUAAAGCACUUUAAGCGAGGAGGAGGCUCUUUUGGUUAAUACCCAAGAUGAGUGGACGUUACUCGCAGAAUAAGCACCGGCUAACUCUGUGCCAGC
rnacentral:rRNA from 1 species